GGGGCUGUAGUUAAAAAUAACAUUUAAUUUGCAAUUAAAAAGUGCUUUAUAAGAGCCAUCCUCA
rnacentral:tRNA from 1 species